rnacentral:tRNA from 1 species
AGGUAGCGUAGUAGUUAGAGCUCUUGCUUUCAAUGCAAAGACCUGGGUUCGAAUCCCUGCUU